UUCCGCAAUAGCUCAGCUGGUAGAGCGCAUGACUGUUAAUCAUGAUGUCGCAGGUUCGAGCCCUGCUUGCGGAGU
rnacentral:tRNA from 1 species